rfam:Cyphomyrmex costatus contig8174, whole genome shotgun sequence.
AAAUUUCAAGUAGGUACAUUAAAAUCGUUUAAUGUUGUUUAUUGUAAACCAUAGUUAUCUCGAUGGGGUUUUAGUUGGUAGGCGCCGCUCUUUGUGGGCGGUGAAUCCAACACUACCCGGGGGAUAGCUUCCCCGGGGGUCUUUGGAAGAUUUCCCCAUCGUUAAAA